rnacentral:misc_RNA from 1 species
CAAUUCAUCUCCUUCACUGACCCAAAUGGCAGGAUGCAAGAGGAAGACCUGUUGUCCCCAGUGUGUGCCAUUACCAACGCUGGGAGCAGUUGUCAGCUCAAUCUCUAAUUGAGCUGGAUCCUCAUUUCUUCCUCGAAAAUGGACAUCGAACCAUCCACCAUAACCACAAAACCGUGUGCUCUCUGAGUUGAUUGAUGACAAAAAACUUGAUUUGACUUCAAG